UCGGUGAAAUGUUUAACAGCUGCGGUAUUUUAACUGUACUAAGGUAGCAUAAUAAUUUGCCUUAUAAUUUGAGGCUAGAAUGAAUGGUUUGACGAAGGUUAAUCUGUCUCCACUUUAUUUUUUAGAAAUUAAUUUUCAUAGUGAAAAAGCUUGAAUUUUUUAAGGGGACGAGAAGACCCUAUUGAGCUUAUAAUUUUAUUAAUAUUUUAUAAAUAUUUAUGUUGUGUUAUAUAAAUUUUAAUUGGGGUGAUUAAGGAAUAAUUUUAUUGAUUUUAUAGUGUAACUUCCUUAGAAAACAUAUUGUUAAAUUAAGUAACCGAUUUAUAUAUAGGUUUAUAUUGGGUAUUGCUUAUAAUAUAGUUACCAUAGGGAUAACAGCGUAAUUUACUUAGAGAGUUCUUAUUGAAAAGUAAGAUUGCGACCUCGAUGUUGGAUUAAAGUAACCUUAAGGUGCAGAAGCUUUAUAAGGUAAAUCUGUUCGAUUUU
rnacentral:rRNA from 1 species